GCUCAAGAACACAACAACUUAGUCAAGAGUUUGGCUCUAAAAAAGCUAUGAAAUGAAUAUAAAAUGAUUGAUAUGAGAGUAUGUAAGUUUAAGCAAGAAUUUAAUCAGUUGUUGUACUUAAAAGAGUGAUUUUGAGGUGUAUUUAUAGUGCUCAAAGUCACCAAGACCGUUGCUUAAUUGCCAAUCACUAAUUGCUGAUUUUGUGCUUGCAUAAUCGAUUAUAUGAUCUGCAUAAUCGAU
rnacentral:lncRNA from 1 species